AACCCAUUCAAAGUUUUACAAUAAGAUUGAUCAACAGAAGAAAUUUCAGAGAUCGAACUAUCUUUGUCUAUUUAUAGACGACACCACACGAUUUCGACUAAAAAGUAAACUUACAUAGAACACAUCAGAUCAGAGCCAUGCAUUGUUGCCAUAAAUCAGAAAAUCUAAUCUACAUUUUCCCUCCAACAAAGCAGCAUGUAGAUGCAUUGGCGAAUUAUAUACAACUUUGCUCUUUUCUUCUUCAAAUUCUUACAUCUUGUUACCCAUAUUCUUGCCUGAUUAUGCUCAGAUAAAACUGAUCCUUCCAUGAAUAUUUUUUUCCUGGGUUUUCUCUUAUCUGUCAGAAAUGAAAUUUUUCUGAGAGAAACUGUAUGUUUU
rnacentral:lncRNA from 1 species